CAGGUUCUCUUUAUUUCACCCUUUCUCUGCUGAGACACUGACCGUCUAACUUGGGGAAUACAUUUUUCAUGUUGGUUGUUUGCAGCAGCAGCAGUGGAGCAGACAGCAUUGGAGGGAAGUUGCUUUCUAUAAACCCCUCACCUCAGUGACCAGCUACAGAGGAGAUGGGUUCCCAGCCCAGAUAAAUGGCGGCACCGGUGUCACCACUCGCAGCAGAGCUUGCAUCCCUUCGGCCCCGCCUCCUGAGAACGGGUCCCUUUCAGCCGGUCCCCAGGCCUCGAGACCCGAGAGCCGGAUGGAGACACCUCCCCGACACCCAGGGCACCGAGCGGUCCAGCAGGAAUAAGCCAACGGUUGCUGCCUGGUAUUUGAACAUCAUUUAAUGAGGGCCCAGAAUUCAUCUGUAAAUGUGCUUUGUUAAUUUAGGGCCUGCUCUUCAUUAAUUAGGGCUUUAGUGGCAAGUGCCACUGCACUAUCUGCAAUGUUUAAGGGUGCGUCAAGCCUUAGUAAACGGCUUGCUGAUAACAAGCCGCAUCCAUCUUCGUUACUCAGCCACUCCUGUCUGACUUUGCUCAGCAUCUUCGAAGCGCCAGGCCUCUUGGAACUGAAGAAUUAAACUUUUAUCCAAACCAGAUUCUGCUCUUUCACCCCUCUGAUUCCUUGAGUACUUCCCAUUUAUUUUGCCUAAAUGACAUCUGAUUACCUAACAUGGAGUGGAGCGAGGUCUUAACCUAAAACAGCCUGCAGACCUCAGUUCUCAGCCGGAGAAUUCCGGGGGGUUAGCGCCCAGGAAAUCCUUACACUUCCAUUUCAUCCGAUCCUGGGCUCAGCGUAAGAGAAACAGUUUCUGACUUUUCUUCUCAUAAGGUUGCAGUUCCAAUAGAUUUUUUUUUUUUUCAAAGCCGGAGAAAUACAGGAAAUUAAUUUUAAACCUGGAGAAUAAAUGUCCCAAUUGGUUCGAGUUU